CCCCGCCUGGGGAGUACGCCCGCAAGGGUGAAACUCAAAGGAAUUGACGGGGGCCCGCACAAGCGGUGGAGCGCGUGGUUCAAUUCGAUGCUAAGCGAAGAACCUUACCUGGGCUUGACAUGCCGGUGGUACGAACCCGAAAGGGGGAGGACCCGGGGUAACCUGGGAGCCGGCACAGGUGUUGCACGGCUGUCGUCAGCUCGUGCCGUGAGGUGUUGGGUUAAGUCCCGCAACGAGCGCAACCCCUGCCCUUAGUUGCCAUCAGCGGUCACGUACCGGCUGGGCACUCUAAGGGGACUGCCGGCGAUGAGCCGGAGGAAGGUGGGGAUGACGUCAAGUCCGGGUGGCCCUUAAGCCCAGGGCUACACACGCGCUACAAUGGGCGGUACAGAGGGUUGCAACUCCGCGAGGAGGAGCUAAUCCCUAAAACCGCUCCCAGUUCGGAUUGCAGGCUGCAACUCGCCUGCAUGAAGGCGGAAUCGCUAGUAAUCGCCCAUCAGCAUGGGGCGGUGAAUACGUUCCCGGGCCUUGUACACACCGCCCGUCACGCCAUGGAAGCCGGGGGCGCCUAAAGUCACUCGCCCAACCCCGCAAGGGGAGGGAGGUGCCUAGGGCGAACCCGGUGACUGGGGCGAAGUCGUAACAAGGUAGCCGUACGGGAACGUGCGGCUGGAUCACCUCCUUUCUUAAGGAGCA
rnacentral:rRNA from 1 species